GCCUCCCCUCCCCUCCCCACCUUUCCCCUGUCCCUCAGCUGAAAUCCUCUGCUCUCCCCGGUCCUCCGCCCCGCCCGGCCACCUCUUACCCUGUGCGCGAGGCCCCCUCACCCACUCCUUGUCCUGUCCACUCAGAAGCGGCGCCCCGCCCCUCCUCCAUUCUACUCCUGGUCUCUGGUUUUGGAACAGGGACGCGACACCGCAAAGUGCUUGACCCACACAAGGAAAACUCAGGAAUAGUCCCCUGUGGUUGUCCCCUCCCCUCUCAACAUGUCGGCCACAAAAGCUCAGGAUCGCACCAGCAGGAUGCUGUUAUCGGAGCGACGUUGGACUUUCCAAUCGUCCUCACUCACUCCAGACCUGUCCUGUGAAUUGUGAUGGGGAGGCUGGGCCCUGGGAAGCUUUACCGCGGCUUUUAGAAUCUCACUCCUCUGGGCCAGCGGGGAUGAGGUUGCGCUGUGCUCCGGUAGUACCGAUGGCGUGACGGGUCCCGCGCGGAGCAGCGACGCCGAGGGUCGGGGCGCAAGGCCUCACGCGGGCGUCCUCCUUGCAGCUGCGCGGCCAUCCCGCUCCUCCGCCCCGAGCCAUGAAUCUCAGCAGCACCAGCAGCACGGAGGAAAAGGCAGUGAAGACGGUGCUCUGGGGCUGCGAGCUCAGUCAGGAGAGGCGGACUUGGACCUUCAGACCCCAGCCGGAGGGGAAGCAGGGCUGCAGGCUGUUGCUUCAUACGAUUUGCUUAGGGGAGAAAACCAAAGAGGAGGUGCAUCGCGUGGAGAUCCUGCCUCCAGGAAACCGAGAGGACAAGAAGACGCAGCCGGUCACCAUUGCCUCGCUCCAGGCCUCAGUCCUCCCCAUGGUGCGCCUUUCCCUGCCGGCUGGAAAACUGCAACCAGCCCCAGCCUCACACUCACCCUUUGGCGGGAAUGCACACACACGAGGGUACAUUCACCCUAUAGAAGUCAGCUGUGUCAGGGAGGCAGCACAGCCCAUGCAAAGAGCUGGGGUCUAGCCCAGCUCACCCCUUCCCAGAGCUGUGUUACCUUGGACAAGUUAAGCUGUCUGCAAAAAUUACACUUCAAACCAUGGGUCCCCCACCACCCGGCCAAGGACCAGAACCCUUCCGUGGCCUAUUAGGAACUUGAUGGCACAGCAGGAGGUGAGCAGCUAGCUAGCUGGCAUUAUGGCUGAGCCCAGCAUCUGAUCAGAUCAGAAUGACAUUAGAUUCUUUUGGGAGCAUGAACCCUAUUGUAAGCUGUGCAUGCAAGGGGUCUAGGUUGCAUGCUUCUCAUGAGAAUCUAAUGCCUGAACCGUGAUGGAGCAGUUUCAUCCAGUCCUGUGGUUUUCAAGACCAUCUAAACAAAGACUCAGAAACCUAUUUCUGUAAACCCACCCUCUCUUGAGCUCCAAGUCCUAUAUCCAACUCUGUGUCUUUAAUAGAUAUAUAAUAAAUAUCCCAAACUUAACAUGUCUGGGAAAAAAAAAAAAAAAAGGAAUCUCACCCCUCUGUGGUCAUCCAAGCUUUCCAAAAAGGAAAAAAAAAAUCUUUUCUUUCUUUUUUCUUUUCUUUUCUUUCUUUCUUUCUCUCUCUCCUUCCCUCCCUCCUUCCUUCCUUCCUUCCUUCCUUCUUUCCUUCCUUCCUUCCUUCCUUCCUCUUUUCUUUCUUUCUCUCCCUUUCUUUUGGACAUGGUCUUGCUCGCUUACUGAAACCUUUUGGUCUCAGGUGAUCCUCCUACCUCAGCCUCCCAAGUAGCUGGGACUACACGUGGAGCGCCAUCACUCUCGGCUAAAUUUUGUGUUUUCUUGUAGAGAUGGGGCUUCACUAUGUUGCCCAGGCUGGUCUUUAAUUCCUCGGCUCAAGCGAUCCGCCCGCCCGGCCUUCCAAAGUGCUGAGAUUAUAGGCGUGAGGUACUGCGCUGCCCAUACUUGGAUUUUACAUGCUCAGGAGCAAAAAUCUGGUCCCGAAGUUGCUGUACCCAGUGUCAAAGAAGGGCAUAUUCACGUUGUGAGAGAUGUGCGGGAGAAAUUCCAGGGAUUUUUCUCUCCUGCUUCGCAGGUAGCAGUGUUGACACAGCUCGGAUGGCCACAAGGGGGUUGAGAUUCUAAAAGCCCAGGGAAACUUUCCUGGGGCCCAUACAAUUCAUAGGACAGGUUUGGAGUGAGUAAGGACUAUGUCCAUAAUAUGUGAAUUCCUGCCAGUGCCGGGAGAGAGCAUGGGGUUGGAGCUUCGCCCACCUCUGCCGCGCUGAUUGGGUCUGGACAAAGGCAUGGACCUUCGCCGAGGCUUCUCAGGCAAGCUCCGACCUCCCCGGUGCUUCCGGGUGAAAUCCUCGGUGGUCUGAACAGUUGAGGCAGGCGACGAUCCAUCCAUGAGCGCUGUUGGACCAGUGUGGACGCGUCCUGGAGUUCGGGUCGAAUCCUGAGUGGAGGCUGCAGCGCGGACUCUCGGCUUCCCGUAGAUGGCGGAGGGGCGUAGGGCGCUUCAGCACCACGGGGUGGACAGCACCCUGGAGGCAGCAGCGGAAACCUGCAGCCGAGGUCGCUGCCCGGCUCCCCAGACUACUUCCGCGGUCUUUACCCCGGAAUAGAGGCAGAGGGACAGUCCCAGCGGGGCCGAGCUUCGGGUCCAGGACCUCACAGCCCACAGGCUGUGCGAAGCCUCGGCCUGCGCUCAGGGGUUCACGCAGAGCUUUGGGUCAGAGAUGAGGUGGAGGGAGCUGCGGGGGAAGGCUGGCGAUUCAUCCAGCAGCGCGCGGCCCGGGUCAGGAGACUGAACCUUGGUCACGCGCCUGGAGCCUCCUUGGAAUUCCAGUGUAGACACCGUCGCGGCUGCUAGUUGCAGCCGACCCUCAGGUCACAGCCGGCCCAGACUUGCAGCCUCAACUGCAACCUCCCGCCCCAGGUUAAAAGACAACAUAUGACUUCUGGGUUGCUUCAAAAAAAAAAAAAAAAGCAACAUAACGACAUCCCGAGGGGCAAUGGGGUACAGAGGGACUGUUCUAGGGCAGCGAGGCAGAGCAGUCCCUCUGCGCAACGCUAUGACAGCGACGACACCGUGAAGCGUUUACAGGAAGCAGGACCAUGGACUGUUUCUAGGAAGCCCGUAGUAAUUAAGUGGAAUUAAGAUUCCAGGGCGUUUUACACGCGGUUCUUUCAGAGCCUUUCAGCAGCCGAGGAAGGUGGGCCCGAGCAUCAGCUGUCAUCCACGAAGGCGCUCAGAGGGCAACCGACCCCUCUACAUCACACAGCCCAGGGGCUCUGAAGCCGGGACUCGAAUACAGGUUUCUGCACCCCAGAUCUGCUGCUCGUCCUCGGCACCUGCUGCCUCCCGGGAGCCCGUCACCUGCAGGACAGAGGGCUUCCCUGCAGCCGCGCUGUUCGCUGUGCCUCCGGCAUCAGUCGUGGGCGCCUCAGUCCCAGUCCAAGAGCGGCCUCGGACUGAACGGACGUAGACUGGGGCUGGAGACUCGUAGGGAUGGUGGCGGCAAUUACCGACCUGGGAGAGCGAGCGCACCUGGCGCAGGGACCUUGGCCAGGCGGGACCACCUGAUCCACUCGGAAUGUGGGUGGGGCUCCUGGUUAGCGACUUGUUUAUAAACAACGCCCCAUCCCUUGAGCUGGCGUUCAAGGCUCAUCACCACUGUUCCACUUAUUCAGAGCCCGUCCAUUUCACAGGCAGUCCCCGGGAGCCGGCUGGGUUCCACCUUUUGGCUGUUUGGCUGUUUCAGCUUCCUGAAUUUCUGAUCUGGCCUACCCACCGCAGCCUUCUGAAGGAGACUGGCGGGACACAAGGGCCUGCUGUGCUCCUUGGGGAUGUGACCAGAGCUCUGAAGCACAGGCUGUCCAAAUGUGCUCUUCGCUUGGCCUCGAGUGUGGCAUCCUCCCUCAGCUUGUAUGUCUGGGCUUCCUGUUCUGAGGCAGGUAACUGGACAUUGCUGAGGUGCAGCUGCUCAGCUGGGACCACAGGAGGCAGAAGCAGAGGGUGAGAAACAGGAGAGGACAUAUAGUGGGCACCUUCUCAUCAAGGACUGGAGCCUAGCCUGGGAGGCCUCUUUCCUGCUAAAUAUGAUCACAAUAACAGAAUAAUAACAGUAGCUCCCAAUUCUUGCCCAUUUACUGUAUGUCUCUGAUAGGCAUGCUGCAAGUAAUUUAUAUGCAUCAUUUCAUUUAAUCCUUUCAGCAAUCUGUGAGGUAUGUGCCGUGAUGAUGUUCAUUACACACAUGGGGCUGGUAGAAGUUAAAUUACCUAGACCACACUGUCAGAAAAAGCUAGGAUUCCAACACAGCCUAUCUGACUUCAGAUGCCUCUCAGAUAUGUUCCUGGUCUUGCAGGGGUUUUUCUUGGUGGUGCUUCAAAGCCUCAUGGAGCAUGACCUCUCUGAUGACCUCAAGACAAAACUGCAAAAGAACCCCAGCAGGGUAUCAGGCUGGAGGGGGGUGGGGUGCAUGCGUAGAGGGUGGUUGGGUGCAUUCUGGAUGAACCAGAGUGCCCAGAGGAACUCCCCCAAACUUCCAAGGUCCUCUCAGGGUUGGACAGCCAGGAGAAGGUGGCUUCCUCAAGAAAAGAGGUACUGCUGGAGCCUGUCUGGACUGACUCCUUUCAGAUCUGUGAGUAGAAGAUAGCCAGUGGCUGAGCUGGGAGUUCAAGAGUAGCCCAGGAACAUGCAGGCCUACAAGUCUGUCUCCAUCCUGUUUGCUGGUGAGAGCAGCUUGAUGAGAGUACAGCUCCCCACUGGCAACCUGAGAGUCUGGUGGAAGUGACAUAGCUCAUAACUGGGGGGGCAAGGACCAUGCCUGUUUCUCAUAGGGGACCCAGCACCAGCGCAGUGCCAGAUAUGCAGUGCACCAUAUGUAUUUGUGGAUAAACAAUCCCUAUUUUUCUUUUUCUUAUGCCUCCGUUUCCCCAGUGAUGGUGUCCUGGACUGAAGAUCGUGGCUGGAGUGCAUGUUACCGCCGACAAAGCUCAGAACACCAGGCAGGGCAAGACCAGCGACAUCAGACUAAGAUAUAAUGGCACUGAUCCUGGAUUUGCAGGGCCAGAAUAAACAAGAGACUGUAGAGACUGUUUUGUCCCAUUCAUUCUUUUAUAGGCAGAACACAGACCCAGAGAAAAGAGAUAACUUGUCCCAAGCUACCCCGUGAAGGAGGAGGGAUAAACAGUGUGCUUCUAGAA